rnacentral:rRNA from 1 species
ACGUAGGUGGCAAGCGUUGUCCGGAAUUAUUGGGCGUAAAGCGCGCGCAGGCGGAUCAGUCAGUCUGUCUUAAAAGUUCGGGGCUUAACCCCGUGAUGGGAUGGAAACUGCUGAUCUAGAGUAUCGGAGAGGAAAGUGGAAUUCCUAGUGUAGCGGUGAAAUGCGUAGAUAUUAGGAAGAACACCAGUGGCGAAGGCGACUUUCUGGACGAAAACUGACGCUGAGGCGCGAAAGCCAGGGGAGCGAACGGG